GAGAGAGAGAGAGAGAGAGAGAGAGAGAGAGAGAGGGGUGGAUGGGUAUGUUUUGAAGAAGAGUGGUGGGGAUGUUGAGGGGGUUUUUAUAGAAAGAGAAGGAAAAAUAUGGGUGGGAGGAGGAGAGAGUGGUGUGUAAGUUCAAUCAUGACUAAGGUGUCAGGGAAGCCCCAAUUAUCUCAAUCAUGGCUCUUGUUCCCCCAAAAUAAUGCCCCCCAACUCUCUCUCUCUCUCUCUUCUCUCUUCUCUCUCU
rnacentral:miRNA from 1 species